AUGAACUCUCACAUUUUUUUGUUUCCAUUUAUUAGGGAUCACAGUCUGGUUCUUCCUCUUGUCCAAAAUCUGCUAACAAUUGUUUCAUGUAGCUUUCUAACUGUUUAUGUUGCAAGUUCAAGUUAUGAAUGUCUUAUUCUAGCAUGGUCAGCAAGGAAUCUAAUCACUGUCAAAGAAGCAUGGUACAGAAGCCGAUGCCAGCAGAAACUUCCUGGCUUUCUGACAAACUUGUUAUUUGCAAGUGGAGUUUGAUCAUGUAAAGACAGAACUUCAGAUGGAUUAAUCCAUCAAUUCAUGAAAUAUUAUCUGAGUACCUAUUAUGUAAUAUACAUGGACCUAAGAGUAAAAUAGUCCUAAACCUCAAGAAGUUUGCAUUUUAUUGGGAAAGAAAGACAAUAAACACCCAAGGGGCACCAAAGAUUACUGGAAACCAACAGAAGUUGGGAGAAAGACAUGAAGUGGAUUCAUUUUCAUCACCUCUGGAAUAAACCAAUUUUGACAACACCUUAUUUCAGGUGUUGAACUGAGAGAAUAAAUUUCUGUUGUAUUAAGCCACCAAGUUUGUGGUAAUUUGUCAUGGCAGCCUAAAAACAGACACAGACAGGACAUGAGAAAUCUGGUGUUGGUGGGAAUCAGGAGUUUGAAUCUGUGUUAUAUAAUUUUGAGAUAUUUAGUACACAUCUAAGAAAAAAUGACAAGUUGGCAAAUUUGGUCAUAAAAGUCUGGAGUUCAGAGGUAUAGUUAAGCCAAGUAUAAUUAUUUUGAAUCAUUAGGGAAUUGCUGAUAUUUACAGUUGUCAGUGAACGACACCAUCUGUGAAAUGAGUGUAACUGUGUAAAAAUUGAUAGGAGUAACUGUCAUUGGCUACGCCAACAUUUACCAUUUAAUGAACUGAGAAACCACCAAAGCAGAUUGAGAAGGAAUAAAAGCCAGUGGAGAGUUGCAAGCAGAAGAUCCUUUGCCAAAUAUUAACAAGUUAGGUAAGAUGAAUAGUGGGAAUUGAAUAUUGAGUUUAAUGACAUGGAGAUCACUGUUGACAUUUUUAACAGUUACUUUCAUGGAAUGUCAGCAAGUAAGUACCUAAUUGGCUUGGAUUUCAAAUGAACAACAUUUAAUUUGAAGUUCAAGUUUUGAUGUUUGCGAAGUUUGGGAGUUUGGAAAUAGGAACAGAAAAAUGGGACAGAUGCUUGAGGCAGAUAUAGAUUCAAAACAUAGAAGGAUUUACUUUCCUAGUUCACAAUAAUAAAAAUAAAUAUCUGCUCUACUAAAAUGUUGAAGUCAUUCUAGUAUUCUUAGUGAACCACAGAUUUCUUGAGAAAUUUACAUGUUGACAUAAUUGUAACACAUUUGGCUAUGAAUAAAUAACAUUAUAAUUAUGUAUUUUGAUAUUUUGUCCCAGUGCAUAUGUACAUAAAUAUGUAAGAAUUGUAUGUAAACAUGGAAAAUAUGAGGGGACUAAUAUUAAAAUGUCUUCUACUCUGGCUCUAAACAACAAAAAAGCUCAACUAUCCAAAAUUUGAUAUAAAAUUAUGUGAUAGUUAAUUUCUAUAAUACUGAACCUACAGAAUUUUAAACACUAUUG
rnacentral:lncRNA from 1 species